UCUCCAGACUCCUACGGGAGGCAGCAGUGGGGAAUAUUGCACAAUGGGGGAAACCCUGAUGCAGCAACGCCGCGUGAGUGAAGAAGUCAUUCGUGAUGUAAAGCUCUAUCAGCAGGGAAGAAAAUGACGGUACCUGACUAAGAAGCCCCGGCUAACUACGUGCCAGCAGCCGCGGUAAUACGUAGGGGGCAAGCGUUAUCCGGAUUUACUGGGUGUAAAGGGAGCGUAGACGGCAGUGCAAGUCCGGAGUGAAAGCCCGGGGCUCAACCCUGGGACUGCUCUGGAAACUGUAAAGCUGGAGUGCGGGAGGGGCAGGCGGAAUUCCUGGUGUAGCGGUGAAAUGCGUAGAUAUCAGGAGGAACACCGGCGGCGAAGGCGGCCUGCUGGACCGUAACUGACGUUGAGGCUCGAAAGCGUGGGGAGCAAACAGGAUUAGAUACCCCGGUA
rnacentral:rRNA from 1 species